UUGUCUUGUUUUGUGUGUCUCAUGACUUCUAAAAUGCAAUUUAUACUGCUUUUCUGAGAGUAUUUAUGUCUGUUAAUCACUCAAAUCUUGAUUUGCUGAUGCAUUGAGAUCAAGCAACACUUUAUUUUCACAGGAUUAGUAAUUAAAUGGUUAAGGGCAAGAAAAGAGUUGGGGGUCUUUGUUAUUCUGGAUUUUGCUUUUGGUGAAAUUUGCAUAAUUACUGCUGAUACUUUUGUAAAAGAGAAAAGAAAGAGAAGGAACAGCCGAGAUAAAAGCUGCUUUACUAGAGAAAAAGUCAGAUAUGAGAGUGGAAAAAUCUUCUUUUACUUAUGUUUAUGUUACCUGUUUUGGGUAACAAUGGGACUUGUAGCAUGCUUUUUAAGCCUUAUAUGAUGCAAAGAUUGCAUAAAGAAUAGUGGAGCAUUUCCAAAGUCUUUUGGGACCUUGUAUCUGGCUUUCUUGGAAUUGAGAACUCUUGAAAUCGUUAAUUCCUAGCAUGCACUAUGCUAUCCCAUUUGCAAUAGUUAUUUGAUUUUGGAAUUUUUGACUGCCAGAUGCAGUGUAAACUAAGAAAUAUUUAAAAUAUAUUGAAGGUGAGUAUGGUCUCAGAUAUGAAUAAUUUUGGUUAGUUAAAAUGAAAAUUAGUAUUUUUUCUAAAAAUCUAUAAAUAAAUAAACAGUGCGUAAAUGAUGUUUCUUUCUUGCUUGUUAGCACUCUCAUUUUUUAACCUGUAGUUUAGGGCCUGCUCUCUCUCUGGAUGACUGCCAUCAAACUGACAUUCAGGAUAAUUAGUUGGAUUUGUUGUUCAGCCAUUUCAAAUUUUGCUAAUGUAGAAUAUUUGUAUGCAUAGAGAUGGCACGGCGGGAUAGGCAAAGUAGGAAAAAAAGGCAGAGGUGGGUUUGGGGCUCAAUUGCUGCUGCGAUUACCCUUGGCACUGCAGCAUUAGCAUGGUCUUACCUCCCUGCAGGAAAAGCAUCGACUUCGAAUGGUGGCCCCCAGGCACCUGAGCAUGAUGAUACAGCUAAACAAUGAAAAAAAAAAGAAGAAAAAAACGUUCGAUGUCAUGCGUGGAAAUAAAAGAAUAAAACGGCCAUUUAUGCUGCUACUUUGUGAAUAGUGAUCGGUUGGUUUAUCAGUUGCAAUUCCCUGGAUGCAGAGGCCAGAGGAUGUAUAGUACCAUCAAAUAAUUCGGGUUAUCUCGAGUUGUGCCAUUGAAUGACUAUCCCGGAGGUGAUGACUUUUGAAUUGAAUCAGCCUGUGUUAUCAAAUUAAUAUCUUUAUUUAGCUGCUGUACGCAUUAAUCAUAGCUCAUGUUUGUUGUUGUACACCCAAUGGAAGCCUGAUGUUUUUGUUCUUAAAUGCCUCGAGUAGGGCAAUCAGUAGAGGACAACGAGCAGCAGAUGGAUUUGAAAUAGUAGUUUACAUGUGAUAAAGAGGAUUAGAAUGUAUUGCGGCUUACAUGCAUCUAUAACAUAUUUGAGUUUGUUAAAACAUUUUAAAUUUUUCAACAAGGAUGGUUGUAUGCAGAACCCUCGUUUGUUUGAGCUGUUGUAGUGGAUGUGUGAGUUACAGCUACAUGUUUAUCCGUGCUGUAGUCAGUUGGUCCUGAGGUUAUUGUUGUAGAUUUAUUUUUUAAGCCAGCUGACUGAAAGUGAAUAUGUAUGCUUCCACGUCUCGUGCAGUUAUUCUAAAUCUUUUUAUCUUAAAUUUGAAAUUGAUUUCGGGUCAUUAAUUAAGUCAUUAAUUAAGUUGUUGGUAAUUUUUUAUAAGAUUUGAUUGUAUUAUUUUAUCAAUCAAUUGACAAAUACUACAUUAUUUGAGAUAAUUUUUUAAAAUAAAAAAUUUAAGAUAUAUAGCACUAUUAUUUUUGUAUAUAGUAAUGUUACAUAAAUACGAAGUUUCAAUAGUGUGUUCAAGGUUUUCCAUUGAAUUGAUGUGUGAUUGGCAAGAGCUUGAUGUUAUUUAUUUCACUAUUUGUUAGUGGUGUUCAAUAAUUGAAUCAGAAAAAGUAAAAAAUGAAAACAAAAAAUUGAAGAGAGAGAGAGAGAGGAAAGCUGUUUCCCAGUUUUCUGAAGCUUUGGCGCGCCAUCUUCGUUAAGGAUGUAAUUUCGAAGAGAUAAAAGCUGCUUUACUAGAGAAAAAGUCAGAUAUGAGAGUGGAAAAAUCUUCUUUUACUUAUGUUUAUGUUACCUGUUUUGGGUAACAAUGGGACUUGUAGCAUGCUUUUUAAGCCUUAUAUGAUGCAAAGAUUGCAUAAAGAAUAGUGGAGCAUUUCCAAAGUCUUUUGGGACCUUGUAUCUGGCUUUCUUGGAAUUGAGAACUCUUGAAAUCGUUAAUUCCUAGCAUGCACUAUGCUAUCCCAUUUGCAAUAGUUAUUUGAUUUUGGAAUUUUUGACUGCCAGAUGCAGUGUAAACUAAGAAAUAUUUAAAAUAUAUUGAAGGUGAGUAUGGUCUCAGAUAUGAAUAAUUUUGGUUAGUUAAAAUGAAAAUUAGUAUUUUUUCUAAAAAUCUAUAAAUAAAUAAACAGUGCGUAAAUGAUGUUUCUUUCUUGCUUGUUAGCACUCUCAUUUUUUAACCUGUAGUUUAGGGCCUGCUCUCUCUCUGGAUGACUGCCAUCAAACUGACAUUCAGGAUAAUUAGUUGGAUUUGUUGUUCAGCCAUUUCAAAUUUUGCUAAUGUAGAAUAUUUGUAUGCAUAGAGAUGGCACGGCGGGAUAGGCAAAGUAGGAAAAAAAGGCAGAGGUGGGUUUGGGGCUCAAUUGCUGCUGCGAUUACCCUUGGCACUGCAGCAUUAGCAUGGUCUUACCUCCCUGCAGGAAAAGCAUCGACUUCGAAUGGUGGCCCCCAGGCACCUGAGCAUGAUGAUACAGCUAAACAAUGAAAAAAAAAAGAAGAAAAAAACGUUCGAUGUCAUGCGUGGAAAUAAAAGAAUAAAACGGCCAUUUAUGCUGCUACUUUGUGAAUAGUGAUCGGUUGGUUUAUCAGUUGCAAUUCCCUGGAUGCAGAGGCCAGAGGAUGUAUAGUACCAUCAAAUAAUUCGGGUUAUCUCGAGUUGUGCCAUUGAAUGACUAUCCCGGAGGUGAUGACUUUUGAAUUGAAUCAGCCUGUGUUAUCAAAUUAAUAUCUUUAUUUAGCUGCUGUACGCAUUAAUCAUAGCUCAUGUUUGUUGUUGUACACCCAAUGGAAGCCUGAUGUUUUUGUUCUUAAAUGCCUCGAGUAGGGCAAUCAGUAGAGGACAACGAGCAGCAGAUGGAUUUGAAAUAGUAGUUUACAUGUGAUAAAGAGGAUUAGAAUGUAUUGCGGCUUACAUGCAUCUAUAACAUAUUUGAGUUUGUUAAAACAUUUUAAAUUUUUCAACAAGGAUGGUUGUAUGCAGAACCCUCGUUUGUUUGAGCUGUUGUAGUGGAUGUGUGAGUUACAGCUACAUGUUUAUCCGUGCUGUAGUCAGUUGGUCCUGAGGUUAUUGUUGUAGAUUUAUUUUUUAAGCCAGCUGACUGAAAGUGAAUAUGUAUGCUUCCACGUCUCGUGCAGUUAUUCUAAAUCUUUUUAUCUUAAAUUUGAAAUUGAUUUCGGGUCAUUAAUUAAGUCAUUAAUUAAGUUGUUGGUAAUUUUUUAUAAGAUUUGAUUGUAUUAUUUUAUCAAUCAAUUGACAAAUACUACAUUAUUUGAGAUAAUUUUUUAAAAUAAAAAAUUUAAGAUAUAUAGCACUAUUAUUUUUGUAUAUAGUAAUGUUACAUAAAUACGAAGUUUCAAUAGUGUGUUCAAGGUUUUCCAUUGAAUUGAUGUGUGAUUGGCA
rnacentral:lncRNA from 1 species